AUUUUGUAGGCAGGACAAAUUUGGGGUUAGAGGUUUCAUGGGUGGAUUGAUGUCCUUACUCUCCACUGGAACUCCCACUUUUGUAGUAUAUAAAGGGUCCCAGCUUGGAUGGUUCAUUCCCAUCAUGCCUUGCACCCUGUGCUGAGGUUUGUGGAAGGUGAAGUAUGAGGUAUGUAGAGGGUGAAGCAUCCCAGUAAUUGUUAUGAAAGUUUACACUUGUCCUGCCUGACCUGUGCUGUGUGACAACACUUAAUCUGCGGUGCCUCAAUCUUCUUAUCUGUAAAAUGGCACAAAUUCUACUACUACUACUACUACUACUACUACUACUACUACUACUACUACUACCACCGCCACUACUAUUACUAACUUUUAAGUAGGGGAGAAGUGAAAAAAGGGGGUAUUGUGUGGCAAAAGUUCUACCUUCUGUAAAGUUGGUUUCUCUUCCUUUUGUCCUUAUUUUCAGAGAACUCAGAAUUUAAAAAUAGUUGCACCAGGAAAAAGUCUCCACUUGAGCUGCGUCCUGUGCUGGCCUUAGCCAGGACUCCCAUGAACAUGGAAGACAGAAGUGAGUUCUUGGGUUAUGGGAAACAUUGUCAUGUUCUGGUUUCAAAAUGUGCAAAUUUAUGUAAAUUUGAAAUAUAAUAGCAAGAAAAACUCUCUAUUAAUUUAAGACAGUGUUUCUCGUGAGAUUAGAUGCUGAUAUCAGAAGGUUCUGGUGCCUGGCAGUAUCCUUAGAACUUGUCCAAGUGCAAGGGCAAAAGGCCAGCAUUGUGUUAGCCCUGCCUCACUGUACUCCUGUUAUUUCUGGUGGGAGCAUUAGGGCUUAACUUCAGCUGUGAAGGCAGGCACUGAUGUACCCACUUCUGAAAUGAGGAAGCUGAGGCCUUAGAGUUUAUGUUCCUUGAUAAGAGUUAAAGUUAUUGGGUAUCCGAGUCCUAGACUUCUGAAUGUGUCCUUCUGCUUCUCAAAAGCAACCAGAUACCAAUCCCUAAACUGUGUGGUGUUGAGGAACUGCACAGGGAACUGCUCACACAAUAUCCUUCCAUUGAUUUCUAGUGCUUGGAGCAAUUCUCUUCAUCCUUUUGUUUUCCCAGUUGAACAAAUAUCCAGCCACUUGUCUGUAUCGACAGUGACAACAUUACCUACAUGGCCUCCGCCGUGCCCUGUACCCUGGGUAACAGAUCCUCAGCUCCAAGUGACCACAGAUACCUGGAGGUUGAAAGAAAGAGGUUUUUACAAGCCUUCUUGAAUUCCUUUCCUUCAUUAGUCUACUGCCUGGGAAAAUUCCCAGCUUGUCCCUUCCCCCACCCCCAACCCAAAGCCACUUUGUUGCGCUGGCAUAAUUUCUUACAAUAACAUUAACAUAUCACUGGAGCUCAUUACCUUUGGUGUAAUAGUUCCCUAUUGAACUGUGUCAGACUAAUUAUGUCAGUUCCUUUUCAUUCCAGUUUAGUGCUUCUCCUGAGAGUCACCGUGCAGCACUGGUAAUAAUGAUUAAACUGCUGUCUAAUGCUCCACUGGAUGGCCAAACCAAACAGGGAAAUUCCUCUCUGAAGAUGGGACUCACACAGCCCUGCAUUUGAUGCAGUUUGCUGUUUUAAAAGCCAUUCCCUGGUGGCCAUUUCUACGUGACAUUGCAGGGCUGGCAUUGUUGGGGAAUGAGAGGGCAAAUUAGAGAAGGAAAUAACUUUGCAAGACCUGAUGUCACCAAGAGGCAACUCAAGUACUUUCUACUAGCCUGGGGAGCCUUGGAGGUCUGAUGGGGACCAUCUGGAACCAAGCUAUGUAGCUCAGCCAGUAGAGGUGUGGGUAUACAGAAGAGGCCAAGGUAAUGAAUCAGGACAAGCCAAUAUCAGAUGCUUAAAGCUCUGUUAGUAGUGUCAGUUGAAAGAGGCCAUGGAAGGAGGAUGACAAUGAAACCAUUUUCACAUUCCAAUGGUAGUCUGGGAGAGCAGGAGCCCAAGUGGAGCCAGGAGCCCAAGUGGAGCUUGUCUUUGUCUUUUUGCGUAAAGGGAAGGAAUGAACCUCACACUUUGGCAGGAGCUGUGGUUGAUGUCCUUUACCACCCACAGGGACGCUAAUCUGUUCUGAGAACCCAUCACCAAUGAUUACCAUUCUAAUAAUAGCAGCCAGCAUCAAAUUCUUUGUGAACAUGGUGAACACUACCUCCAGCUUCCUGAGUCAAGAUUCAACAGGACACCCUGUAGAGCUGGAAGAGUGGUGGGAUGCAUGCUAGUGAAAGCCCACGGUAUGGAUGACCUGCUGAAGGUGAUUUGAUGAAGACUUGGAAGAAAACCGUGGAGAACUGCAGAGGAUAUCUGAGCCUCUAUUUCAGCACAUUUCUUUGCUAUUUACCGAGGACUAGAGUGCCGCUCCACCCACGCAGGUCCCAUUCCAGAAGUGAUUGAUGACCACUGGACACUCACAGAUGGACGCCGAGAGCCGCGCCUGCUCCUUCGUGCGCCUCAGUGGCGGCAGUGACGCGAUUUUUCAUGUGUGUGUUGGCUUCUGAGUCCUCAUCGAGCUCCCGAGCGUAACCAAACCCAGACAGCAUCCGUGAGAUGAAAAAUAAAGUGCGAUGUUUAUGAUGC
rnacentral:sRNA from 1 species